GGUUAUGGCUCAGUGGUAGAGCACUCGCCUAGCACAUGGAUGGCUUGGGUUCGAUCCUCAGCACCA
rnacentral:tRNA from 1 species